UACGUAGGGGGCUAGCGUUGUCCGGAAUCAUUGGGCGUAAAGAGCGUGUAGGCGGUCCGGUAAGUCCGUUGUGAAAGUCAAGGGCUCAACCCUUGAAUGCCGGCGGAUACUGUCGGGCUAGAGUCCGGAAGAGGCAAGUGGAAUUCCCGGUGUAGCGGUGAAAUGCGCAGAUAUCGGGAGGAACACCUAUGGCGAAGGCAGCUUGCUGGGACGGUACUGACGCUGAGACGCGAAAGCGUGGGGAGCGAACAGG
rnacentral:rRNA from 1 species